CUUGGGUGCACGGCAUGAGGGUGGGUGUGCGAGCCGAGCGCGCGCGCGCGUCUGAGUACCGCCGCUGGAGCGGCCGCGGCUGCUCCCGGCGGCGCCGCGAGUGGGACCGGGGCGUAGCUUCCCAGGUGGUACAGGUGUACGGAAGGCCGGCGGGGACGGGGACGGCGUGAAGACGGAGAGGAGCCGCCGCGUGAGGCGCUACGGCGCGCUUCGGCUGUCAGUUCCCGCACCAGCUGCUGCUGCUCCUGCGAAGGGCCCUCAGGCUGGGACUUUCCUUCCUCCUCCUCCUUCGAUACUGACGCUGACCAUGCGACGGCCCUACCGAGUCCGAACUGUGCCAACCCUACCUAUAGGACUCGUAGCGGCGCGGGCGACACGAGCGCGAGCGGCGGCUGGGGUAGCGACGCGAGCAGCUGUGGCGGAAGCAGCCGGUAUAUCCAAGUUGGCUUGAACGACGGCACCCACAUAGCUAAAGCUAGAAGUUAAACCACAGCUUCAAUAAAUUACAAGGUGACGAAUUGCACUGAUGUAGAAAACAACGACUCGUCGUUCGUCAUCUACUAUCAAUAUCUCCUUGUCCUCUUUUAAGGGUCUAUUAUUCAACUGUCUUCUUUCCUUCAAAGAAGGCCGUCAGUGCUGUAGAAACCGAGAUCGAAGACCAUAACCCAACUACCUUUGACACCGUGAAUAAAAACCUAGACCUUGUAACUACCUAAAGUAGCCAUAUGGUCACCUAAGGGGUCACGCAUAUGGUCGGCUCGUUAAAGAAUGAAAAUCCCGUAUACCACGAGGUGGAUAGUAUCAUCGUGAACGUCGUGUCCCACGUAAAGCACCCAACUACCUAUGUUUCUGUGGAAACAUGCGAUAACCACAACCAUUGGAUCAUUUACGUUAUGAACUACGGUAUAAACAGAAAGGCGAACCAAAUCCUCAUUCUCCACGACGCAACCGCUGACAUUGUAGACUCAUGCACUAUCGAACGUAGGAGGAAACCUUCAACUUAUCAUUUCAUCAUUAGAAGAGUCCUUUCUAGUAACCACCACCUUACUAUGCGAUGGACUUUAGUCCACCUGACGACUAGCCAUCCUGGUAUCGUCACGAGGAGUGGUACUGUGACAGUUGUAGAGAACGACGUUCCCUUCCCGGACAAGGUUACCGACCGGUAGUCAAUACGAACGUUCAUACCAAUUGUUAGAGAAAUGAGUUACUACGUAAUCGAGAACGACCUGUCCGAGACGAACGUUGACUUAUAUGCUUUUCUUUAAUGUUCGUCCGCGCGUACCAAGAGAUGUCUCAAGACGUCUAACCUCCCCACUGACCAUGCCGUGAGCGAUAUUAGAACAAAAAACCCAAACCCAGAAAGAGGAGCGACAAGUGUCUGCUAGGUCGUCAAGACCCAUAACGGUUUAGACCACAGACCAAGCAGCGGUAGAGGGUCGGUUAUUUGCGACAACGAAAACACCAACUACCCGAGAUGAUACCACAUAGACUGAAACGUAUACGACGGAUGAGGUACAAGAAACGUCCUCGGUAUAGUAGCCGAAAGGAUGAACAACGGCGAGGACUUAAACCAGAACCACCGCAGACCCGGCCAGAGUAAGAAAAAUACUCAGACGCUCGUCAACGACCCAACACCUCCAACCCCUCGUUUCCACCUGGGACCUUGAGCUAGAACAGUCUCUGACUGAAUGCGCUGUUUUACACUAUGGGAUCUAUUAUACUACUCUUCUACUUUUCUAUCUUUUUAUUCUGUAUAGAACCAAAAGAAUACGUCAAUGAACCGUUUAUGUACAUGUCUAGGGCACCUUCAACGUUUGAAGUAAAUGACGGUUCCGCAACAGUGAUUUCAACAUCGGCAUCUUCGUGGAGAAUGAAACAACACCGUAAACAACGUUUACGAUGUCCAUCAACUAAACCGACAAAACAUGUGGAAGUCUAUAUGGGAUCUAUUAAUACUUAGGACACUUUACAUCAAGAAUGCAUCUACUACACAUUGGCACCUUCGUAAGAGGUGAACCAACAUCGGUAAUAAUGUUCACGAUGUUUUUCAACCAAAAUCGACAAAACAUGUGGUACACGUUCUUUUUAUAUCAAACGAUCGGGUUGUACACGUACCUCAUAACGUUGAAGAUGACAUUUACUCGAUACAACACGC
rnacentral:rRNA from 1 species